CACAGGAUGUUAAUAGAAUCCUCGUCAAAAAUUGUUUUCACGGGAGUUUAAAGAAUCCGUUAAUGUUUAUAUAUAUUUACCAAAGAUUGAUUCAACUUUAACGGGAGAAAAGACACUCGUUAAUUAAAUAUAUUUUUAAGGGAGUAUUAUAAAAAAUAAAAAUAAAAAUCCCGCCCACAGUUUUCAUCUCCCGCGCGCCCAAAAAUCCAAUAGUCAGCCAAAAUUUGCUAGUCCUAUUUAAUUUCCAUGUCACCAUUUACACAAACACUGCUCUUCAUUUCGUUCCCACGAGCGCCUCCACCGCUGUUGAGUAAACUGCUGACAACACCUGACCAGUCUCUCAAAAUGCCCUAAUCUUCUUUCUUCCAUUAUUUCUGUUGAGGAGGCUGGAUCAUUUACCCCAUCUCCGCUUGAAGUUCAAUCUGAAAUCUCUACCUCGCUCGAAGUUCUCUCUCCUAUCUAUCUCCAUCUCCGCUUGAAGUUCUGGUUCGACAGGAAAGGAAAGUUGGGCGAUCUCAACCAAUUUCUACCUUGACCAACACAGAGCUAUUUGUUCAGUUUAUAAAGGAAGAACAUGCUGCGAACGCCAAAAAAACACAUGCUGCGAACGCCCUUAAUUAUCUCACUGAAGAUUUUAUGCUGGUGAAAAGAUCUAUUUUAACCAACUUAUUAGGAGCAGAACAAAACCAUUACUUUUGAAGUAAGAUUAGGAGCAUAGUUCUGGUUCUCAAUCUUCAUCUCUGGUAGUUGAAUUUCCUGGUAAUCAAGUUGUAGACGCGGAACUUGCACUUGUGGGGUGUUUGCCCUUUUUUGACCUUUUUGUUCUAUCUAUAAUUGUACGAUUGCAUGACAAAGUUGAGUUCCUGGCAAAGCAUGGGCAUGUGGAUUGAAUGUUUCUUUUUGGGGUUUUUUUAUUGUUGGCUUCUCAAAGUGUGGGACUCCAUUUUUGAUCACACCUCGAUCAAAGCCUUCAUCAAGACAAGACAUUACAUAUAAAAGCUCAAAUGAAGGAACAUCAUGAAGAUACGACAAAAAGACAAAAAGGAAUCAAGAUUCAAAGAGAAGUCUUCAAGAUCUCAUCAAAUGGGGUUAGCUAGGAUGGUGAGAUUUUUAGGAAAAUUUGUUAAAGUAUAUAUGAACAUCUUGAAGCUCUCAUUCUCAAAAUCAUGCAUAGAAACUCAUUCAUUAAGUUUAAGGAACAUUGGACCAAGUUUAAACAUUAUCAAAACAUGUUCCUCAAAUUUAAGUUACAUUUCGGUCGACCGAAAUGGAAGGAUAUCUUGAAAUGGUCGACCGGUUCUAUUAAAGAGUUUGGAUCAUUGCUUAUCGAAAUACAGUACCAACUCAUUUCGGUCUACCGAACUAAGUAAAUGAAAAGCUACUCAUAGAGUUUCAGAUGACCGAAAUAAAAAGGGCAAAUGAAUCGGACGAGCCCAUUCUCACAGAAUGUUUUAGAACAAAGGAGGAAGGAGUUUUGGUCGACCGAAACAAAAGAAAGAAUCAUUCGAUCUAUCGAAAUAAGUAUGAUGGCCAACCUCAAACAGUUUCAGUCGACUGAACCUCAAUAGUGUUUUAUUUUAGACGAUCAAACCAGCGAGAAUUCAAAUAUUGAACGGCCAUUUUUUCUCGAAGUGUGUGUCCAACAGCUAGAAUAUAUAUCAGACUUAUUUGAAACUCUAUAUAAUGACUUGUGGUCUUCAUAAAAAGGUAUUGCAUUCAUUAAGAAACAUAUCUUUGCAAUCUUAGAACCUUUUUAUCAUCAUACACAUACUUCAUAUCUUCAAAGAGUAAAGAGCUUUAAUUUAUUCAUACAUACUCUAGAGUGAGUUGAAACUUGUACUUCAGAUAUAAGAGAGAUCAUCUUGUACUUUAUAUAUUCUCUUCAAAUCUUGUAAGGGCUAGUGUGGCCCAAGGAAGACUACGAGAAGGUGUUUCUCUUAGCAAUUAAAGGCAAAUAAGAGUUUUUUUGUAAAAGGUUUGCUCUCCACCCGUAAGGAGAAGCCAUAGUGGAUUGAGAAGUCUCAAGGAGGGUCUUGAGCCAAGGAGUAGGAGUUUUCGAACCUCGUAAAAAUU